UUUUUUUUUCCGUUACACUUUCCUUUUAAACUUAAAACCAUUUCACAAGUGAAAUCAAUGUUCAAAGUGAAAAAUAUGAUUCAAUUAUUUGUAUACUCAAAUGACUCAAAAUCCUGAAUGCUUAUAUCUUUCACUACAAUAUUUUCUUUCAAUGAUUUUGCUGUUUUUCAACUUCCAAUCCUCAUUACUAGUCUUUGCCUUUUGUCAGUCUCCUUUAUGCACGCCACCACCUCUAUGUGUUAUGAUAGCAAGAGAAAUUAGCUUAGUGCUACUUCUAUACUGUUCAAUGAAUGUCAUAUGCGUUAUAGAGAAUGAAAAGUAAAUUUUAAUUCUAAGAUGAAACCAACAAAAAUGGUUGCACAUUAGUGUGUAUAUAUAUAUAUCCUGCAUAAAGAAUGACAGAUUUUUUCUUAAACAUAAAACACAUGUAUCUCGGAUGCAUAUGGACAAACAAAAUCGUCCGAGUCUUUGCGUAUAUUAG
rnacentral:lncRNA from 1 species